rnacentral:rRNA from 1 species
GAUGAACGCUGGCGGCGUGCCUAAUACAUGCAAGUUGAGCGAACGGACGAGAAGCUUGCUUCUCUGAUGUUAGCGGCGGACGGGUGAGUAACACGUGGAUAACCUACCUAUAAGACUGGGAUAACUUCGGGAAACCGGAGCUAAUACCGGAUGAUAUUUUGAACCGCAUUGUUCAAAAGUGAAAGACGGUCUUGCUGUCACUUAUAGAUGGAUCCGCGCUGCAUUAGCUAGUUGUUAAGGUAACGGCUUACCAAGGCAACGAUGCAUAGCCGACCUGAGAGAGUGGUAGGCGGCACUGGAGCUGAGCCACGCUCAAGGCUCCUACGGGAGGCAGCAGAAGGGAAUCGUCGGCAGUGGGCGAAAGCCUGACGGAGCGGCGGCGAGUGAGAGAUAAAGGUCUCCGGAGCGUAAUACCCUGUUACUAGGGAAAAACAUAUGUGUCAGGAAAUGUGGACAUAUUGACGGUACCUAAUAAGAAAGCCCCGGCUAACUACGUG